rnacentral:rRNA from 1 species
AUUGAACGCUGGCGGCAGGCCUAACACAUGCAAGUCGAACGCGUGGCGGACGGGUGAGUAAUGUCUGGGAAACUGCCUGAUGGAGGGGGAUACCUACUGGAAACGGUAGCUAAUACCGCAUACCAGUGGAUGUGCCCAGAUUGGAUUAGCUAGUAGGUGGGGUAAAGGCUAACCUAGGAGACGAUCCCUAGCUGGUCUGAGAGGAUGACCGGCCACACUGGAACUGAGACACGGUCCAGACUCCUACGGGAGGCAGCAGUGGGGAAUAUUGCACAAUGGGCGCAAGCCUGAUGCAGCCAUGCCGCGUGUAUGAAGAAGGCCUUCGGGUUGUAAAGUACUUUCAGCAGGGAAGCGGUACCCGAACAAGAAGCACCGGCUAACUCCGUGCCAGCAGCCGCGGUAAUUC